GUAUUUGAUAGUAUUCACUGCACCAUCAGGAGAUAUCUUUGUUUGGUACAAAGUGCUAAAGCCUUAAAAGACUAAAGCCGAACAAUAAUGAAUAGAACUGAUUUCCCAUCUUUGGAUUCUAGAGUGCUGACAUGGGAGUUUGAAGACGGUGGAAGGAAUUUAUGGACUGUAUUUACUGAUGUAAUUCAAUAAUUAAAGAUAAUUGUACAAUUUCUCUUAAGCUUGUUGAAAUUCAAGUUUUCUUUUGCUUUAGGCACGACCCAAAAAAUGUAAUAAUAUUUACCAUACUACCUAAUUUAUGUAUGUCUUUAAAUAGUUUACAAAGUGAAUUGAUAAUACAAAAAGUACCCAAAAUCAGAGAGAGAAUUUGUACAGAUUUAUACAAAUCUACGAACUUGAAAAGCCUGCCUUUGUCUCAGAACUUCUAUCUUUGUUUCAAAGAGAGAAACUGGUACAUUACGUAGAUAGGAGAAAAGGAACUGAAGGGUAUAGAUAAAGGAGAAAUGAGCUUAAAGCCUAAGGAAGAGGAAAAAAAUAUAUAAUACAAUCGGAGUGAUCAGAGAUAAAGAACAAGAAAAAAUCAUCAAGAGAUUUUUCUUGAAAGAGGAGGUAGAAUGGAGAUGUAUUUUGUAGGCUACUCUGUUGGAUUAAAGAAGGCCUGAAAUGAAAAGGUAUGUGCAACAAAGGCGUGAGGCAGAUGGAAGGCUUCUCUUCUUAUUUCCUAAGGCUGAGGGCUUCCAGUCCUUUUUGCAUUUGGCUAAUUGCAAAGUCUGCAAUCUCAAAGGGUCACAAUCAUUUUCAGCUUUUGCUGGUGAGAGACACAAAGCAGACAACACUGCACGUUGCUCCUGCUAUAAUAAGAUGUCAUUUCAUCAGGAGGAGUAGACAAAAGGAUAGAUCUUCCUCUUUCCUCUUUUCCUCUGUUUUGCUUUGGGAUAUAACAUUCAGUUUCUCUCUCCAGUUUCCUACAACAUCACAAGGCCAGUUUUUGCUUUGAACUUCAGUAAUAUCAAGUACCUUCCAUGUAAAUGGUGCUUGAGAUAUAAGCGUAUUGCAUGGCCUCUGAGAAACCAAGACCACAUGGAAACUGUUCCCCCCCAAUUUCUGCCAAUAACGUCAGAUUUUGCAUUGCUUCCCCAACAAGAACUGCCCUGUAUCAGAGGCCAGCUUUGUGCAGGGGCUGAUGGUUCUGUAUAGUUUGUGUUUGUGAGCCAUCAAAGGCUUUGAGUGGGAGAGAGGAAACGAUGAAGGAAACCUGGAAUCUGUGCCCAUACUGUUGCAACCUUUCUGAGUUUACUUUAAGAAUCUUUAUCCAGCUCUUCAUCUUUUCACUUUGAUCACUGUAACAUCUCUUCACCUUGGUUUCUAGCUUUUUCCUUUCCCCACACCAUCAAUCUGCACAGAUGCUGCUUUUUCCAGUCAGAGCCUCUUUUGGCAUUUUUGCACUUUACCUCCAUCUUAUUUCUGAACUUCUGUUUCUCUUGUUGUCCCUCGGUGACUGUGUUUUUGCAUGCUGUAGAGAUACUCAAUGCUUUUUUUUUCUGUGCCAUGUCCUCAUUCUAUUCUAUGACCUCUUUUGUGCUGCCUGUACUCCAGGAGUGCUGAGACAAACAGGCUGGGACAGAACACAUCUCUGUGCUCUUCCUGGGAGCACAUUUUAUUCCAGAAAAUUUGUUCUGCUGGUCUCACCUAUAUUUCUUCAAUUGUUUAAUAUUAAGCACUUAUCCAGCAGCGUGAAUUACAAUUAUCAUGAAUUAUACAACAUGGCAGUUUCUGCCCUGCUUUGCUCUCAUUUACAUAACUGCUAGACUGUAAUCACAUUUUGUCUUCCAGACAGAAAUCUUCCAGACUUCUCCCAGGUUUAAUUGGAGGUGCUUUGUAAACCUUUGAUGGUUAAGGACACCAGAUUUUGGAGUGAAAUGCUGGUGUAUGUAUACCAUUUUCAGUUUUAUAAGAUUUAGACCUGACUUCAUGGCCACUCAUUGCAUCUUCCUGUUGGUGAGGGUUAUGGAUAAGGUGUGGGUAGUUAAAGAAGAGCAAAUGAAGCAUGCUAGUUCAUAGAGUUGGGGGAAGAAGCUGGUGCAAUUGUGAUUUUUCUUUUUGCAAGCAUCGUAGAGGCUGGCUUUCAGAUAAUGUAGAUGUGUGAGGAUGUGUUUUGUCUCAGGAAUCAAGCUGGAGUCCAAGUCUGACAUUCAUUACUGUGCUGUGCAUUACCACAACUCUAGAAAAUAUUCUUCCAGCAAUUUAAAUUUAAUAUUUCACAGUCACUUUCAAACAUCAUCAGGCUGGGUCAGUACUUUCCUUUUUGUCUUUAAGUUGUAAAAAUUUUAUCUUCUCUACCUAAUAAAACACAUGCUGCACUCAAAAAUCUCUCAUUCCUUCUUGCAAAGGUGACAUAGCGAAGCUGUACAUAUACCACUCUUGGUAUCAAAUGUAAUUAUUGAUGUAAGGAACGUAUCAGCCCUGGCCUGUGUGAUGCUGCUAUUUCAUCUGCAGGCAUCCUUCUCCAAGCCAUAUAAACACACUGCUCCAGUGUUGUGCUUUCUUCAGCCCUUAGUUGACUGUAUAACAUUUUUGAAUGAGUUGUGUUUUGUACAUAGCCCGUGAAAUCAGUUUGUGCAGCAAUUGGUUGCUUUCCAGAAGAGUGCUGUAUGAGUGUAAGUCAUUAAUGUCGUCAUUAUCCAAGGAAAAGGAUGAAAAUAUGCAGAUAUAUUUCUUAGUGUAGAUGUAAUUAUAGCAUUUUGCAAGACUAUUUAAAUAGUACUUAUUUGGCAUAGUGGUUGCUAUUUAGUUUUAAGCAAGAUGAAAGGUAGAUCAUUUUUGCUUAUUUUUGUUCCAUUUUAAUGCAGUGCUAUUAAACUAAGCAAAUUUCAGAUUGGAGAGAGGGAAGUAAUAGGAUGAUUUGAAAAACAGCAAUGAAAGAGAAUGAAAAAUGAAAAUAAUUGUUGUUUUUUAGAGAUAAAAUUAACGUCGCAAACAGCAGUAAAACCAUAACUGCCUCUAACUUUUUCAUCUGCUUCUAUCUUUUUCAUCUUGAGAUCCCAGAAGCUUGAAAGCACAAAAGAAACAGCUUGUGGAAAAUCUGUGAAGUCCAUCUAUUUCUACAAUAGGAUUAUUCAUCACCACAUGUUUUCCCCAUCUGGAAGUAAAGGGACAAAAUGCUGAAACCACCACCGUCUCACUUGCAAAUUGCUCCACAGUCUAACCAGUCAUGCUAUUGAGAAGAUAUGCCUGCAGUUCAACCCAAAUUGUCUGUAAUCAUGUUGCUUCCUUUCCCUUGUUAUCCUGAGUAGUUCCUCCCCACCCAUAUGUUUAACCUCUCUGAAAUAUUUGUGGAUGGCAAUCAGAUCCCUCUGAGUCACUGCUUAGCUAAGCUGUAUGCAUUUUCAGCAUCCUUCUUUUCUUGUGUAAAUCUUCUCAGAUAUUUAACCAUUUUUCUCCACUUUCCUGUGAAAUCCUCAGCAUUCACUGAAGAUGUUAGAAUGAUUGCCCCUGGCUGAACAUGGGAACGGAACAUGAGCCUUACACAGAUGGUCCCCUUAGUGGCCUGGGUUCAAGUGCAGUGGGUUGAGGUGCUCAAACACUCCCUUACCACGCUUGGAACUCCUGCUCUAUAAAUCAGGGCUAUACAGUCUGGGGAGUACUGGAACUGUACAGCUGGGGGAAAGUCCCAGCUUUGCUCCACCUGGACUGUGGCCACAAUGGAAAAUUUUCUGGUUAAAGUCAAUUAUUUUGCUGCCGAAAGGUAAGGCUUCUACAGCGGCCUGUGUGUGGCUGAGGCUAUGCUACGAACAGUUCUUAGCUACAAAGAGAGGUAAAGUUCUCACUCUGUACAGCCAUGUCCACACUCUUACUAGCUGCAGCAUAGUCCAACUUAAUCACAUGGAGCAGUGCAAACAGUGUGAAGGAAUACCAUCUUCCAGAUUUCAGAGGUAAAACCAAUGCUUAGAUUAUUGGAUUGACCAAGCAUGAUAAUUAGACACACGGAGUUUUCUAAUUUUCCACUUAUUUACCACUGCAAUUUGGAAAAACAGUUGGGAAAUGUGAAACAUUCCAUGGGAUGGGAUGUUUGUAGUAUCUUUCCUCAGAAGAACGUGUGUAACAUGGUGUGUUUUAAUAAAUACUGCAGUCAGGGAACUGACUCUUGGCCAAAGCAGGAGCCUGGGAAGACAGAAAUAUUUGCAGCUGGUCAGUGCUUUCCACCUCUCCCUUCCCACUGAGGCCAGCGACCAAAAAGCCAUCCAUCCUGAGUGCUAAGGCGUGCUGGCCUCCCUGCCUACUUUCUAUCAACAGUUUUGACAGGUCCUCACUGAUUGUUGUUAUGAAAUCAAAUCUAUAUUUACAGCCAGAAAAUGCCUGUCAAAAUAUAUCUUUAACAACCUGAAAUUUAAUUCUUCAGCCGUCUCUAUAGUAGGCAUGUCCAUUACAGGAAAUCUUUCCUUCCUCUUUCCAUUAAAAUAUUUUCAAUUUGGCAUGCCAAAAAAGCUGUAUCUCAAAGAGGAAAAAAAAAAAUAGUCUUUAGUAUAGCAAGAAGAUUUACAAAAUCAUUUAUUACCUUUGGUUUCCAAACUAAUCUUAGAGUGAGAGAGAGUAGUGCUAAAAUGCCUAAGCAAAGUGGGGAGUUUAUAGGACCACAUAACCUACUCAGGCUUAAAUAAUAGUAGCAGUAAUAAUAGCAGUAAUAAUAAUAGUAGCAAUAAUAAUAAUAGUAAUAAUAAUAAUAAUGGUAAUAAAAUAGAUGAGCUAAGUGAUUUGAUAUCUGAGCUUAUUAUCUGACAAGUGAUUGAAACUACAUAAGAGGAAAAGGACUGUAUGAAAAAUUAAAACUGGCAACACUGGAAAGACUGUGUGUCAGGAGAAGUAAUUGCAGGAAACUUCUGCAGUGCACAUUAAGACCACCCAGCUCCUCUGUGCUGGCAAGGUAGCAGAAUCUGAUAAGCUACUUGAAGAACACAUUACUGAAAAUCAGCAUAUCUAUAUAAUUGGCCUACAUUUCAUAGAGUUCAUAGCUCUCAUAAGAAGAGCUAAUGUCUCUCGUGUUUCUGUUUUGUUUAUAUCAGGAACUGCAGCCAAGUUCUUGCUUCUAGCUUUGCUUAGAGUUUCUCAUGGAUCUGGGGAGAGUGUCCUGCCAGUGACAGAUUGAGACUGAGUGUAAUUGGGGAUGCAGGAAGGUGAGGGAAAGAGGCAAUAUCCCAGGGUCAUGGGAUCAAUGCUUGUAAAUGGGAAGAGGGGAAGUCAUAGAAUCAUUGAAUCAUAGAAUCGCUAAGGUUGGAAAAGACCCACAGGAUCAUCCAGUCCAACCAUUCACCCAUCACCAAUGGUUCUCGCUAAACCAUGUCCCUCAACACAACAUCCAAAUGCUCUUUGAAUACCACCAGGCUCGGUGACUCCACCACCUCUCUGGGCAGCCCAUUCCAGUGCCUGACCACUCUUUCAGAGUAGUAGUAUUUCCUAACGUCUAGCCUGAACCUUCCCUGGUGCAGCUUGAAGCCAUUCCCUCUAGUGCUACCACUAGUCACCCGAGAGAAGAGGCUGACCCCCAGCUCACCACAACCUCCCUUCAGGUAGUUAUAGAGAGCAAUAAGGUCUCCCUUGAGCCUCCUCUUCUCUAGACUGAACAAUCCCAGCUCCUUCAGCCGCUCUUCAUAAGACCUGUGCUCCAGACCCCUCACCAGCUUUGUUGCCCUCGUCUGGACACGCUCCAGAGCCUCAAUGUCUUUCUUACAGUGAGGGACCCAAAACUGGACACAGUACUUGAGGUGUGGCCUCACCAGUGCUGAGUACAGGGGGAUAAUUACUUCCCUGUUCCUGCUGGCCACACUAUUUUUGAUACAAGCCAGGAUGCCAUUGGCCUUCUUGGCCACCUGGGCACACUGCUGGCUCAUGUUCAGUCUAGCGUCAAUCAACAUCCGUAGGUCCAUUUCCUCUACACAGUCUUCCAGCCACUCUGCCCCAAGCCUGUAGCGUUGCCUGGGGUUAUUGUGGCCAAAGUGCAGGACCCGGCAUUUGGUCUUGUUGAAUCCCAUCCCAUUGGCUUCAGCCCAGCUAUCCAGCCUAUGCCCCGCUAUCCAGCCUAGACAGGCUCCUGUCUAUUUCCUUUAUCAUGAUUCAAUAGAAUGAAUAUUUUUCUUUGGUGGUACAUAAUGAACACUAAAUUAAUGAACUACAUUGUAGCUGCAGCAUUUUAUUUAUUUAUGUACAGGUUAGUUUUCAUAUCUCUUUCCCUAUAUACCUUCCAAUAGAGUCAUAGCAUCAUUUAGGUUGGAUAAGACUCUUAAGAUCAUCAAGUCCAACCACCAACCUAUCACUACUGACUGAACCACUGAACCAUAUCCCUAAGCACCACAUCCAUGUAUCUUACAUACCUCCGGGGAUGAGGAUUCCACCAUUCCCCUGAGCAACCUAUUCUGUGCCUGAAAAAUUAUUCCUGAUUUCCAGCCUAAACCUCCUUUGGCACAACGUGAAGCUCUCUCUUCACGUCAUCUCACUUGUCACUUGAAAAAACAGGGUAACACCUUACUCCUUUCAUUUAACUGUAGAGAGUGAUGAGGUCUCCCCUCAGCCUCCUUUUCUCCAUACUAAAUAGCUCCAGUUUUCGCAUGCACACCUGGUAACUCUUAUUUUCUUGUUCUUUCACCAGCUCUGUUGCUGUGUUUUGCACAUGUUCAACAAACUCAGCUUCCUUCUUGCGGUGAGGAGUACUCAAGAUGUGGUCUUAUCAGUGUCAAGCAUUGAGGGACAAGCAGAACAAUUCAAAGGCUAUGACUAUCCUUGAGACCUUGUAGCACCUGCACCUACAGAAACUGUCCACAGAGACCUUACCGGACCAUGUUUUAUUGUCAUUGUUUCUGGGCAAAGGUUUUAUAAUGCAGCAGUGGAGUCCAUCUUGCUGAAGCAAUGGAGACAGAUAGUGAUGGAGCUGCCAGAACAACCUGUAAAUUAUCUGCCCUAAAAUCCUCAAAGAGCACUUUGUGCUGAAAAGAAGGCUGUUCAAGGCAGGAGGGGAAGAAUUUGAUCUUGCCUACAUUUGUUGUACAGGAACAGAAAGGAGGAGUGCUUUAUUCAUCAAGUGAACACAGCACUUUAAAAAUUCAACUAAGUCAAUAUAGGAAUACGUUUAAAAUGUAUUCACCUUCAGAGAGAGAUUUCCUGGACUGACAGAACUGCCAAUGGGUAUGAGUUAUUGCUUAGCAAAAGUUGCUGCAAAGGAUGCUGUACCCAUCACCCCUGUGAAGGGGUCUUAUGUGGAACAAGCUGCUAAGAAAGUUAUGGCCAACAGAAGUUCUGCCUUUGACUGGUGCUUUGGUAACUACCUGUGGGGAUAGUCUGCUGUUAUUCUAUUUUUCUUCCUUCUUUGUCAGAGAAAAUGGCAGUCUGGUGACAGUGUUCUUGAGAAUAGCAACUUCAUUCUACCAGGUUCUGCUGGUAGAGUAGAAGUGGAAAGUCCUGCCUGAGAACGUGCAUUGUAGAAGCACUGUUCCCAAAGCUGGCAGCUCUGCCAAAACCCAGAACAUGAGUGCUUUGGGGAUGCCCUGGUAGGAACUUAGGUCAGUGCUGGCCUUGGGCCAUCCAGAGUAAGAUGUGAACUGCCUGGACUACGGCAUUACUGGGCAGAAAGAGUGUCUGAUCCCUUCAUGAUUUCAACUUCAGAUUUGCACACCUUAUAUUUACCUCUGAGUACUUUGUAGCACAGUUUGAUAUUUAUGCUUUGACUUUAAUUCAGAAAGAAUCUGGAGAGGAAUAAGAGAGAGGCUAAAAAUGUGCAAGACAAAAAAUACAUGUGUGAUUUCUGAAAUCUGACAGUGUUUAGGAGGGGAAAUAGAAGCUACACUGCUGAUUAUUUUACUUUAUUCUCCCAAUUGAAUGUGAUUUUUUUUGUUUUGUUAUUUUUUAUUUUUCUUUCUAUGCUAUGUAUGGAUGAUACCAGGCCAGUUCCUACCCAAAGGCUUGCUUAAGUGCUUUCAAUCUUACUUGCUUACCUUGCAUCUACAGUAACAAGGAUUCAGUUGUGAGUAAGCCUCAGCAUGUUACUUUAGUUCAAAUGAUUUCUAACUGGAAUAUCAGUGAAUCUUUACCUUCAGGUCAUCCGUGCUCUUUUGUAAGAAUGAAUUUCAGUAGCUUAAAAAUGCUCAGAGUUUGUGAAUGACAAUGAUAACUCACUGCUAUGAAACUUCCUGUAAGUGUGCACCCAUCUCCCUAAAUAAGUAGAAAUGGGUUUCAAAUAACAGGCUCUUCUGUUUAUAAGAGUGGUAAUUAGAAGUGCAUUAAGGAAACCCUCAUUUCAGAAGCAGGCGUAUGAUAUCUAUGAAGUUUCCUGCUUUUUUCCUUUUCUAUAUAUGUUUGAGGCUCCUGAUUGUCUAAUGAGAUUAGGGUAAAUUUGAAAUUAAUUGUAUCUUGUAUAUGUUUUUGAAAUAACAGGCAUAAAGCUACAUUAACUUGUUUUCAUUUGUGAAAGCAGCCUGUUUUCCUUGGUACGUAAGUAACUUCAUGGUUACUAAAGUCUUACUUAUACCCUUUGAAUUGUAUGAGCAAACCUUUCUCUAUUUUAUGUGUUCAUGAAGAUAUUGAAGAAAUAUCAGCAGCUUUGUAUGCAAGUAGAUGAGUGAAGUUGGCAUUUAAACUCUUGAAAAUUACAUAACAGCUACUAGUGUUAAGAAAUUAUAGAUAUGAUGAAGGAAGAGCUGUGAAUUUACAUUUAGAAAUUAACCCAGCUGGGUUUUGUGUGUGAGUGAAAGGUGAAGGAGAGAUAUUUUUAAAAGCUAUUAUUGUGCAUCAGCAAGGUGUGUGUCAUUAACUAAUUAUUUUGAGAAUGCCUUACUAAGACAGUGGUGGUAAUUAGUCUUUAGAUUUGUAGAAGGAAUGUGAUAUUCCUUUUAAUUGGGAAAGUUUUCCUGCCUCUGGGCACGCGCCCUGAAGUGGAGAGGGGGGGAGAGUAGAGGAGAAGGGAAAGUAGGAGGGGAGUGGAGGGAAGAGGUGAGGAAGGAAGGAGACUCAGUGGACUUUAAGAAUUGUCCAUCCUUUUCCAAAAUAAUCAGCAGUGCUACUGAAAAGCCUUCCUUCUGAAUGAUAUUAUCCUAUCCUAACAUUACUUUGAAGUUUUCUACCCCUAGAUGAAUUCUACAUUCAUUAAUGUCAGCAAGCCUUUUUUUUUUCUGGACUAUUGAGGCCAUCUUUCCUGCAAAUGACCUUAACAGCUGCAAAGAGAAAAGAUAUGAUAACAUUACAUUAAAACACACACUAUGGUAGUUCUCUGAAAAUUUGGAGAUUUUGUUAGGUUUCUGGCUGAGUUUAUGAAUUUACUGUAUGCAAAGCUGCAAUGGAUUUUUCAGUUCCCUCCACUAGUUCCCCCAAGCCUCAGGUUACGAGAGAAAAGCCAAAAAUGCAGGGCAAUGUCAAUUAUAGGAUAGCCAGGGGCAUUAUGUUCCCCUCUCCCAAGCUGUUCUCAGCAUUGACUUAUUGCCACAUUUCAGAGAACAAAUUAAGAUGCUCUGCAGUGAUGGAUCCCAAAAACUUGUUUGUCCUGAGAGCCAAGGAAGAGAAAAAGGUGUGGCAAACAGUGAAUGCACCAGAACACAUGAAGCUAAGGGGAUGUGGAAAUAUAAUGCUGAAAUACCCAGUCUAUCUUUCCUUCUCUGCCCUAACCUACAGGAGAAAUAAAAUCAGUUAUAUGUUUUGACUUUCUGUGAAAUAGAGGGAGCAUUAGACCUUCUGCAUUCAAGGGGGGAACCAUGGACAUAAGAAUAGCUGUUUAUCUUCAUUUGUGGUCUUGGAGAUGAAUAAGGAAUGAGUGACGAUGUGUAUUCACUACUGAGUACAUAACACAACUGUUCGAGAGAAGAUGCAGGUUUCCAAAAUCUACCAGCUGCCAUGCACUGGGCUAGUUUGGCAACGUCCAUCUUACCACUCGUGAAAGUAGGCCUUCGCAUAUUUGUGUAAUUCAGCAAAGGAUGUGGUCAAAUUAUUGCCUUUGUCUCUUUUUAUUCUGAAUUACCUCAAGAACUAAGGUCAAAUAAGGAAAAACUAUCCCACAGCAAAAGAGAGAAGAAGCAAAGACAUGCUGGUUAGCUUCUCACUGUCUGCUAAACUGCAUGAAGUCUACUUGAAAUCUCUGAUCUACACUAACAUACCAACUUAAAAAAAAUCCACAAAUGCUAUACCCUGCAACUAGAUAAGUAGGCAGCUGGGUUAAACUUGUAGAUAGUGAGUCAGGCUCCUCAGAUUCUGGGGAAGACUGAAGAUGAGAGGAAGCAGAGUAACUGCUGGCCCUUUGGUAUGGAACACAGGCAAAGUCAGGGGACAACAAUGGCAAAAGUUCCCUGGUCUAUGGGGUAUUUGGGACGUGAAUCCCCUUCCUGAGGGUGAAAGUGGUGCCUGAAAGAGUCAUGUACAGAGGUCAGUGCGUUAGGCUGGUGAGUGUCCAGGAGGAAACACUCCUGGAGGACAGCAAUACAAUAAGUUUAAGAAAAAAAAAGGCCAGAACAUAAAUUCUUGCCACCCUUUAAAAUUUAACAAUAUUAAGCAUAAUCAUUUGGCAGUUCACUUAAUCUCAGUGGCAAAAAUAACUGGUUAUACGUUAUUAUUGAAGAUUAAAAUCUUAAAUCUUCCAUCAAGGCGGGGAGGGAGCAGGAGGUGCUAGAUAUGACUUUUGUCAUAUCAGGACCCUAAUGAAUUCUGCAAAAAAAGAAUUCUUAUGAAAUAUCCUUUCCAUUCAGCUAUUAUCUUUGGCUGUAGCAAUUACUCAUUUGCUCUAAACUGAAAUCCAACAACAUGAAGCACAGCUAUUCUCUUUCAAACUAAAAUCAGUAUUGGCAGGAUGACUGAAAGUAUUUGCUUCCAUUAAAGGCAAAAUAUGUCCUAAGUGGUCACAAGUGUGCCAUCUUCCUCAGCUGUCAGUGCCUAAUUUGAAAUAUUUAAUUUAAAACAUUUUUAAAGCAGGCUGGUUGUCUCUGUUGCUCUGAGCUUACAUCUCCUACAUUCUAUUUCCAAUACCUGCCCCCAGAUCCAUUGGCUGCUUCUGAUGUGCUAAUGCAUUUAGAAAUGUGACUUUCCUCAUCUAUGCUAGACAAAAAGUCUAAUGCAAGAUCAUGUUGGUGAGUUCAUUCUAGAACACCAUCUUCUCUGGCCUUUUGUUAUGGGAGAAGCAACAGGAAGGAAACUGAGCUCCAACUACUGCUCCAGUAUGGUCAGCAAGAUGCACAGGAGGGAAAUUCUGUACCCAGCUUGUGGAAGGUGGAGGACUCUGCCCUUGCCCUUGUUGAACUUCAUCAGGUUUCUCUCCUCCCAGCUCUCCAGUCUGUCCAGAUCUUGCAGAAGGGCAGAGCAUCCUUCUGGUGUGUCAGCCAUUCCUCCCAGCUUUGUAUCAGUUUCACACUGAUAAAAGGGUCAAUGUACACUAGCUAUUCUUAGCCACUUUUUCAUAAUUUGCAUUUAAAAAGCUAUCACAUAUCUUUUAAUUCCCUUGUUAUACACCUGUAAGUUCUCACUGUAUGUUUUGCUGAUAUUUAUCACCAAUGAAAGUUCA
ensembl:lncRNA